CGAAUCGUUUAGCGAAGGGGGGGAAAGACGAGCGGGCGAAGUUAGAAGAGACUAGAGAUGGUCGCUGGCCUUUGGAGACGAAGGCAUGUGCACGUCUCGAAAUCUUCCUAGUCCUCGUUCUCUUUUCCUCUUUAGCGAACCUCUUCAACACCUGUGCACCUUUUGUAGGUCCCCGCGAGGGGAUCUAUGUAUUCGUUCAUUCCUAAUUAUCGUAUGGCCAGAACGUAUCUAAUGCGUCGAUCGGCGUGGCUUAACGCUUCGUCGGCGACGGUAAAUCGUAAUACAACUUUCAGCAACGGAUCUCUUGGCUCUCGCAUCGAUGAAGAACGCAGCGAAUUGCGAUAAGUAAUGUGAAUUGCAGAUUUUCAGUGAAUCAUCGAAUCUUUGAACGCACCUUGCGCUCCUUGGUAUUCCGAGGAGCAUGCCUGUUUGAGUGUCAUUUAAUUCUCAACCAUGCCUCGAUUGAUUUCGAGACCCAUGGCUUGGAUUUUGGGUGUUGCCGGAGACCCUUUCUUGGGUCUUGGGCUCUCCUUAAAAGCAUUAGCAAWGGCGGGCGAGUCCCUGCAUGCACGGCCUUCGACGUGAUAAUGAUCGUCGUGGCUGGAGUGUAGAGGGCGUUGCGAAUCGUCGGUGCUUCUAAAUCGUGACU
rnacentral:rRNA from 1 species